UACAGAGGGUGCAAGCGUUAAUCGGAAUUACUGGGCGUAAAGCGCGCGUAGGUGGUUCGUUAAGUUGGAUGUGAAAUCCCCGGGCUCAACCUGGGAACUGCAUUCAAAACUGUCGAGCUAGAGUAUGGUAGAGGGUGGUGGAAUUUCCUGUGUAGCGGUGAAAUGCGUAGAUAUAGGAAGGAACACCGGUGGCGAAGGCGGCUCUCUGGGACGGUACUGACGCUGAGACGCGAAAGCGUGGGGAGCGAACAGG
rnacentral:rRNA from 1 species